rnacentral:tmRNA from 1 species
GGGGGCGAAAUGGCUUCGACGGAGAUUUUGAGGCCCAUGGUAGCAUACCGAGUCUUUUGUCAGCUCGUAAAAUUGGCAAAGAAUUAAACAUAAUCGCAGACGAUUAUAAUUACGCUGUAGCUGCUUAAGGCAGCUUCCGUCCUGCUGAGAUUUUUCUUGCAGAUUUCAGGUCAGGGCGUCGACUUUGCAAGACCGCCUUUUAAGGGUGUCUGAGCCUUAAAGGUUGAACUUAUCAGACUAUAUUGCUUGGUAGCCCUCUCAAAGG